rnacentral:rRNA from 1 species
UACGUAGGUGGCAAGCGUUGUCCGGAUUUACUGGGCGUAAAGGAGCGCGCAGGCGGUCGUUCAAGUCGCGUGUGAAAGCCCCCGGCUCAACUGGGGAGGGUCACGCGAUACUGAUCGACUCGAAGGCAGGAGAGGGUAGUGGAAUUCCCGGUGUAGUGGUGAAAUGCGUAGAUAUCGGGAGGAACACCAGUGGCGAAGGCGGCUCACUGGUCCUUACUGACGCUGAGGUGCG